rnacentral:rRNA from 1 species
UUGAUCCUGGCUCAGAAUCAACGCUGGCGGCGUGCCUAACACAUGCAAGUCGAACGCGAAAGUCCCGCAAGGGAUGAGUAGAGUGGCAAACGGGUGAGUUACACGUGGGUGACCUGCCUUCGAGCGGGGGAUAACGUCCCGAAAGGGACUCUAAUACCGCAUGACAUCCUGCCUUUGAAGAGGUGGAGAUCAAAGCUGGUGAUCGCAAGACCUAGCACUCGAAGAGGGGCCCGCGCCUGAUUAGCUAGUUGGUGGGGUAACGGCUCACCAAGGCAACGAUCAGUAGCCGGCCUGAGAGGUCGGACGGCCACACUGGGACUGAGACACGGCCCAGACUCCUACGGGAGGCUGCAGUGGGGAAUUGUUCGCAAUGGGCGCAAGCCUGACGACGCAACGCCGUGUGGAGGACGAAGACCUUCGGGUCGUAAACUCCUUUCGAUCGAGACGAAUGGUUUCCGGGUGAACAAUCCGGAAAAGUGACGGUACCGAGAGAAGAAGCUCCGGCUAACUCCGUGCCAGCAGCCGCGGUAAUAAGGU